GUUUCCGGUGCGCGCGCAUAACGGGCGUCCCUUCUGAGUGGAUCGCCAGAUGUAAGCUGCAAGUUUUCAUGUGUGUUGAUUGUAAUCAGAUUGUGAGCUAACUACACCCCAAAGGCUAUUUUAAUAGCCACAGC